ACUCCUUUCUCUCUCACACUCCACUUUCUCUCUCAUUUUCUCUCACUUCUCUCUACCUUCACCACUCCAUUUCUCUCUUCCUCUCUCUAGAAACCAUGAAAAUUUCCAGGAAACAAGUCCAAUAACACUCAUGAUUCUCAAAAUAUUCAUCAUCUAGUGGUGUUCAUUAAGGAAUCGAUUAUGGUACGAGUUGAGCGUAGUCAAGGCACCAUUUGCAUCAUCUCAAUGCAUAUUGAAUCAUCGAGUAAGUGGCACUUAGGGACACAUCACUUUUAGGAACAUUUGCAUGUGUUGUAUUUCAAUUUACAUUGUAAUUUCUUUUAAAAGUUGUUCAAACCCAUUGUAAAUUUGUAAUGAUUUUUAAUACUAUGGUUGGUGUUGUCUUUUAACUUUUGCUAUGAAACCCUUUAUACUGCCACGCCUCGUGUUUCCGCUUUAGCGGGGUGUAACAGUAGUGGACCCAGAGCAUAGUUGGAUGAUGAAGAGGGACUUUUGGAUUAUAGGCUAGU